UCGACACCCCAUUUUUUGCUUAGUAUCCACUGCCUUUAUCUCCACAUUUAGAUUAGACAAAGCCUACCGCAUCUCUAGGCUAUACUAGUAGCAAAAUCAUCCACAGCUUUAGUUUCCUUUCCCUCAUCAACAUUUACCACAUUUAGUAGUAAAACAUCAUCUACCACAAUGGUUCUCCUUUUAAGUCUUUACUUUUGAACUGCCUGACCCUUGUUUAUCUUCAAGAAAUCCUCCAUGAAUUUCUUCUUGCUACUUCUAGUGGUCUGAUUUACACCGGGAACAAGUCCUUCG
rnacentral:lncRNA from 1 species